GGUUAAGCGACUAAGCGUACACGGUGGAUGCCCUGGCAGUCAGAGGCGAUGAAGGACGUGCUAAUCUGCGAUAAGCGUCGGUAAGGUGAUAUGAACCGUUAUAACCGGCGAUUUCCGAAUGGGGAAACCCAGUGUGAUUCGUCACACUAUCAUUAACUGAAUCCAUAGGUUAAUGAGGCGAACCGGGGGAACUGAAACAUCUAAGUACCCCGAGGAAAAGAAAUCAACCGAGAUUCCCCCAGUAGCGGCGAGCGAACGGGGAGCAGCCCAGAGCCUGAAUCAGUGUGUGUGUUAGUGGAAGCGUCUGGAAAGGCGCGCGAUACAGGGUGACAGCCCCGUACACAAAAAUGCACAUACUGUGAGCUCGAUGAGUAGGGCGGGACACGUGGUAUCCUGUCUGAAUAUGGGGGGACCAUCCUCCAAGGCUAAAUACUCCUGACUGACCGAUAGUGAACCAGUACCGUGAGGGAAAGGCGAAAAGAACCCCGGCGAGGGGAGUGAAAAAGAACCUGAAACCGUGUACGUACAAGCAGUGGGAGCACAGAGCAAUCUGUGUGACUGCGUACCUUUUGUAUAAUGGGUCAGCGACUUAUAUUCUGUAGCAAGGUUAACCGAAUAGGGGAGCCGAAGGGAAACCGAGUCUUAACUGGGCGUUAAGUUGCAGGGUAUAGACCCGAAACCCGGUGAUCUAGCCAUGGGCAGGUUGAAGGUUGGGUAACACUAACUGGAGGACCGAACCGACUAAUGUUGAAAAAUUAGCGGAUGACUUGUGGCUGGGGGUGAAAGGCCAAUCAAACCGGGAGAUAGCUGGUUCUCCCCGAAAGCUAUUUAGGUAGCGCCUCGUGAAUUCAUCUCCGGGGGUAGAGCACUGUUUCGGCAAGGGGGUCAUCCCGACUUACCAACCCGAUGCAAACUGCGAAUACCGGAGAAUGUUAUCACGGGAGACACACGGCGGGUGCUAACGUCCGUCGUGAAGAGGGAAACAACCCAGACCGCCAGCUAAGGUCCCAAAGUCAUGGUUAAGUGGGAAACGAUGUGGGAAGGCCCAGACAGCCAGGAUGUUGGCUUAGAAGCAGCCAUCAUUUAAAGAAAGCGUAAUAGCUCACUGGUCGAGUCGGCCUGCGCGGAAGAUGUAACGGGGCUAAACCAUGCACCGAAGCUGCGGCAGCGACGCUGAUGCGUUGUUGGGUAGGGGAGCGUUCUGUAAGCCUGUGAAGGUGUGCUGUGAGGUAUGCUGGAGGUAUCAGAAGUGCGAAUGCUGACAUAAGUAACGAUAAAGCGGGUGAAAAGCCCGCUCGCCGGAAGACCAAGGGUUCCUGUCCAACGUUAAUCGGGGCAGGGUGAGUCGACCCCUAAGGCGAGGCCGAAAGGCGUAGUCGAUGGGAAACAGGUUAAUAUUCCUGUACUUGGUGUUACUGCGAAGGGGGGACGGAGAAGGCUAUGUUGGCCGGGCGACGGUUGUCCCGGUUUAAGCGUGUAGGCUGGUUUUCCAGGCAAAUCCGGAAAAUCAAGGCUGAGGCGUGAUGACGAGGCACUACGGUGCUGAAGCAACAAAUGCCCUGCUUCCAGGAAAAGCCUCUAAGCAUCAGGUAACAUCAAAUCGUACCCCAAACCGACACAGGUGGUCAGGUAGAGAAUACCAAGGCGCUUGAGAGAACUCGGGUGAAGGAACUAGGCAAAAUGGUGCCGUAACUUCGGGAGAAGGCACGCUGAUAUGUAGGUGAAGUCCCUCGCGGAUGGAGCUGAAAUCAGUCGAAGAUACCAGCUGGCUGCAACUGUUUAUUAAAAACACAGCACUGUGCAAACACGAAAGUGGACGUAUACGGUGUGACGCCUGCCCGGUGCCGGAAGGUUAAUUGAUGGGGUUAGCGCAAGCGAAGCUCUUGAUCGAAGCCCCGGUAAACGGCGGCCGUAACUAUAACGGUCCUAAGGUAGCGAAAUUCCUUGUCGGGUAAGUUCCGACCUGCACGAAUGGCGUAAUGAUGGCCAGGCUGUCUCCACCCGAGACUCAGUGAAAUUGAACUCGCUGUGAAGAUGCAGUGUACCCGCGGCAAGACGGAAAGACCCCGUGAACCUUUACUAUAGCUUGACACUGAACAUUGAGCCUUGAUGUGUAGGAUAGGUGGGAGGCUUUGAAGUGUGGACGCCAGUCUGCAUGGAGCCGACCUUGAAAUACCACCCUUUAAUGUUUGAUGUUCUAACGUUGACCCGUAAUCCGGGUUGCGGACAGUGUCUGGUGGGUAGUUUGACUGGGGCGGUCUCCUCCUAAAGAGUAACGGAGGAGCACGAAGGUUGGCUAAUCCUGGUCGGACAUCAGGAGGUUAGUGCAAUGGCAUAAGCCAGCUUGACUGCGAGCGUGACGGCGCGAGCAGGUGCGAAAGCAGGUCAUAGUGAUCCGGUGGUUCUGAAUGGAAGGGCCAUCGCUCAACGGAUAAAAGGUACUCCGGGGAUAACAGGCUGAUACCGCCCAAGAGUUCAUAUCGACGGCGGUGUUUGGCACCUCGAUGUCGGCUCAUCACAUCCUGGGGCUGAAGUAGGUCCCAAGGGUAUGGCUGUUCGCCAUUUAAAGUGGUACGCGAGCUGGGUUUAGAACGUCGUGAGACAGUUCGGUCCCUAUCUGCCGUGGGCGCUGGAGAACUGAGGGGGGCUGCUCCUAGUACGAGAGGACCGGAGUGGACGCAUCACUGGUGUUCGGGUUGUCAUGCCAAUGGCACUGCCCGGUAGCUAAAUGCGGAAGAGAUAAGUGCUGAAAGCAUCUAAGCACGAAACUUGCCCCGAGAUGAGUUCUCCCUGACUCCUUGAGAGUCCUGAAGGAACGUUGAAGACGACGACGUUGAUAGGCCGGAUGUGUAAGCGCAGCGAUGCGUUGAGCUAACCGGUACUAAUGAACCGUGAGGCUUAACCUU
rnacentral:rRNA from 1 species